rnacentral:rRNA from 1 species
GAUGAACGCUGACAGAAUGCUUAACACAUGCAAGUCGACUGGAAUUCACUUCGGUGAUAGUACGGUGGCGGACGGGUGAGUAACGCGUAAAGAACUUGCCCUCUAGACUGGGACAACUGUUGGAAACGACAGCUAAUACCAGAUAUUAUGAGAACCUCGCAUGGGGAACUUAUGAAAGCUAUAUGCGCUAGAGGAGAGCUUUGCGUGCCAUUAGGUAGUUGGUAGGGUAAUGGCCUACCAAGCCGACGAUGGCUAGCCGGCCUGAGAGGGUGAACGGCCACAAGGGGACUGAGACACGGCCCUUACUCCUACGGGAGGCAGCAGUGGGGAAUAUUGGACAAUGGACCAAAAGUCUGAUCCAGCAAUUCUGUGUGCACGAUGAAGGUUUUCGGAUCGUAAAGUGCUUUCAACUGGGAAGAAAAAAAUGACGGUACCAGUAGAAGAAGCGACGGCUAAAUACG